GGCUGGCUAGCUCAGUUGGUUAGAGCGUGGUGCUAAUAACGCCAAGGUCGUCGGUUCGAUCCCGGCGUUGGCCA
rnacentral:tRNA from 1 species